rnacentral:rRNA from 1 species
GAUGAACGCUGGCGGCGUGCUUAACACAUGCAAGUCGAACGAUGAAGCCCAGCUUGCUGGGUGGAUUAGUGGCGAACGGGUGAGUAACACGUGAGUAACCUGCCCUUGACUCUGGGAUAAGCCCGGGAAACUGGGUCUAAUACCGGAUAGGAGCGCCUGUCGCAUGACGGGUGCUGGAAAGAUUUUUCGGUCAUGGAUGGACUCGCGGCCUAUCAGCUUGUUGGUGAGGUAAUGGCUCACCAAGGCGACGACGGGUAGCCGGCCUGAGAGGGUGACCGGCCACGCUGGGACUGAGACACGGCGCAGACUCCUACGGGAGGCAGCAGUGGGGAAUAUUGCACAAUGGGCGGAAGCCUGAUGCAGCGACGCCGCGUGAGGGAUGACGGCCUUCGGGUUGUAAACCUCUUUCAGUAGGGAAGAAGCGGAAGUGACGGUACCUGCAGAAGAAGCACCGGCUAACUACGUG